UGGGGAGGAACACUGUUGAAGUUGGAAGACAACGAGAUUUAUCAAACAUUUUGCUCCUUGUUACUGAUGGUUUCUGCAGAUGAACUUUGUGUCUUAUUCAUCAAGCAGGAGCACCUAACUAGAGGAGUUGUCACACAAACACGCUUUUGGUUUUAGUUGAAAGGCCAGCAAAUUGGAGAGGCUACACUAUGUUCAGCCAGAGGAGAGCCAUUACAGAGAGGGAAAGAGAAAGAGAGAGAAAGAGGACAAGCGAGGAUGUGAAUGGAGACGGAGGAAUGAUAUUUGGACAGUUGUAUAAUUGACUCCUUAUCCAAUGCUCUUUGCACAUCAGAGGCUCUCCCCCUCCUUUGACUCUGUGACUGAUCAGAUGUUCUCAAACUGUGGCACAGACAAACAACUACGACGGAACAGCUGGGAGGGGAGUGGAUGGUGGAGAAGGAAAAGUGGAGGUCUGAUUUGACUCUGAGUGGCGCCCUCCAGUUUUCGCAUUGAGUAACAUUCAUGCCAACGUGUAGGAUGCAUGGAGCCAAGACUCGCUCACUCCUGGUGCAAAAGAAGAUAAAGACCUAUGACCACAUGGGCCAGUUUUUAUCCCGUGUAAGGCUCAGGUGAGCUAGAUUAGCGGCCUGCUGAGGUUGGCCAGGAGAGCCUCCAAACCAGUGGGAGGGCUGUGACAGCCAACCACCUUUCAGUAAAUAAAAUAUGCACAUUACAGAUUGGUCUCUGUUCUCAGAAAACAGCAGUCUCAAAUUCCUUCCC